CAUCUGUGGGGAAAUAAUAGUCCCCACUUCAUUAGGAUGGUUGUGAGGAGUAAAUCGCUUACUACUGAAACACACAGGUGGUAUAUAGCAAGUGUUCAAAAAAUGUAAGCUGUUGUUACUGCUCUUAGGGCUUAGGUCUGAGUGCCUCCUUUCAGGUGGUCUGACUCUAGGACCCAGACUUUGAUAGCACAGCCCCUCCCCACUCUUGUCCACUAGAGCAGGACUAGUUGCUGUCUUAGCUAGGGCAGCUACCUCCUGGGACCCAGUCAGAGGACACAGGAUCUUGCUGCUGUUGGCUCAAGUAUUUUAUCUUCCUAGGAAGUCAAAUCAAAUAAAGCUAUUGACCAAUACGAAGUUACCUUGGGAUUCACAAUGCAAUUUAAGUCAGCGUACACUCUACUUGAGAUCUGUAUACUGUGUUUUGUUUGUUUGUUUGUUUGUUUGUUUCUGUAAGGGAAAAGAAACUAUCUGCAAAGGAAGAUUCUCAUGCACAGAUUGAAACCCUCUGAGAUAUCAACCCCCUAGGUAAGAGAAUCACAGACAAAACUGUAUGAAACCUCUAGCCUCUGUAACAUGAUAAACACAUUUUACUCCAAAGGCCAGCAUCAUGCUCACUGAAGAAAUCUGGAUUAUUCUGAUUAAUUAGGUAUGUUACAAGGAUGGCCCCAUGACUCUUUUUAUUUAAUUUUCCUUUGGGAGUACUGGCUUAGGCAAUUAAAGAAGAGAAUGAGAUAUAAAAACUAGAAGAGUUAAAAUAUAUAUGAUAUGAUAGCGUACAUGAAAAAUCCAAGGAUAUCAACUGAAAAACUAAUACAAAUAAGAUAUUUUAGGAAAAUGGGUAGAAAUGAGUAUUUUUUUUAAAACCGCCUGUUUGAGAAUAUAAGAGAAUAGACUGUAUUGUUUACAACAGCAACAACACAGUAAACCAAGCACAAUAAAUGUGCUAGAUCUAGGUACCUACAUUAGUCUGUUCUCACACUGCUGUAAAGAUAAUACCAGAGACUGGUAAUUUAUAAAGGAAAGAGGUUUAAUUGACUCACAGUUCCGCUUGGCUGGGGAGGCCUCAGGAAACUUACAUUCAUGGCAGAAGGCGAGGUAAAGCAGGCAACUUCUUCACAAGGUGACGAGAGAGAGAAUGAGUGUGAAAGAGGAACACUUAGAUAACCAUCAGAUCUUGUGAAAAGUCACUAUUACGAGAACAGCAUGGGGGAAACUGCCCCUAUGAUCCAAUCACCUCCCACCAGGUCCCUCCCUGGACAUGUGGGGAUUAUGGGGAUUACCAUUCAAGAUGAGAUUUGGGUGGGGACACAGAGCCAAACCAUAUCAGUACUCAAAACUAAAAUGCCACCAAAGGAAGUUUGAAUAAAUAGGAAGGCAUAUUCUAUUUUUGGGUAGAAAGACUCACUAUUAUAAAGAUGUCAGCUCUCCAUAAAUUAAUCUAUAAAUUUAACACAGAUCUAAUAAAAAUACCAACAGAGUACGCAACCUGAAUAUAAAUUCAUAUGGAAAUUUUUGCAUCAGGGAUAACCAUGUUGCUUCAGUAGCAUCCUCAGAAUGAAAAACAACCAACCAAAACAAAAAGAAUAGCCAUGAGAACAUUUUGAAAAGUAAGGUUAAUGAGAGGAGAAGCACUAUACCACGUCCGGCCUUCAUGACUAGGCUUUCUGAAUGGGGUGGGAAUUGAAACAGCUUCCAGCUGGUCUCCCUGCGCCCUGCUCCCAGUCUAUGCUCAUGGUUGCAGCCAGACGAUGCUCUUGAAUUGAAGGGCACAUGAUGUCACUUCUCUGCUUAGAAUUCUGCAAUGGCUCCCAUUGCAUUCCGGGUGAACAGAGGUCCUUACGGUGGCCUACAAGGCCUUGUGUGACCGGCCUCCCAGUGGCCUCUGCAACGUGGCUCCUCCCACCCUCCCACUCACCCACACCAGGUACCCCGGGCACCUUGCUGCCCCCUGAGUGUGCCAGGCAGGCUCUCACCUCAGCCUGCUCUCCCUGCCUGGCACGCCCUUCCCGCAGCUCACCUCCUCACCUGCUUCAAGUCUUCACUGAAACGUCCUGCCAUGCCCUCUCUGCUUUAAAUGGUAACACCCACUCCCCUGCACUCU
rnacentral:lncRNA from 10 species